rnacentral:rRNA from 1 species
GACGAACGCUUGGCGGCGCGCCUAACACAUGCAAGUCGAACGAGCGAGAGAGAGCUUGCUUUCUCGAGCGAGUGGCGAACGGGUGAGUAACGCGUGAGGAACCUGCCUCAAAGAGGGGGACAACAGUUGGAAACGACUGCUAAUACCGCAUAAGCCCAUGGCUCGGCAUCGAGCAGAGGGAAAAGGAGCAAUCCGCUUUGAGAUGGCCUCGCGUCCGAUUAGCUAGUUGGCGAGGUAAUGGCCCACCAAGGCAACGAUCGGUAGCCGGACUGAGAGGUUGAACGGCCACAUUGGGACUGAGACACGGCCCAGACUCCUACGGGAGGCAGCAGUGGGGAAUAUUGCACAAUGGGGGAAACCCUGAUGCAGCGACGCCGCGUGGAGGAAGAAGGUCUUCGGAUUGUAAACUCCUGUUGUUGGGGAAGAUAAUGACGGUACUCAACAAGGAAGUGACGGCUAACUACGUGCCAGCAGCCGCGGUAAAACGUAGGUCACAAGCGUUGUCCGGAAUUACUGGGUGUAAAGGGAGCGCAGGCGGGAAGACAAGUUGGAAGUGAAAUCUAUGGGCUCAACCCAUAAACUGCUUUCAAAACUGUUUUUCUUGAGUAGUGCAGAGGUAGGCGGAAUUCCCGGUGUAGCGGUGGAAUGCGUAGAUAUCGGGAGGAACACCAGUGGCGAAGGCGGCCUACUGGGCACCAACUGACGCUGAGGCUCGAAAGUGUGGGUAGCAAACAGGAUUAGAUACCCUGGUAGUCCACACCGUAAACGAUGAUUACUAGGUGUUGGAGGAUUGACCCCUUCAGUGCCGCAGUUAACACAAUAAGUAAUCCACCUGGGGAGUACGACCGCAAGGUUGAAACUCAAAGGAAUUGACGGGGGCCCGCACAAGCAGUGGAGUAUGUGGUUUAAUUCGACGCAACGCGAAGAACCUUACCAAGUCUUGACAUCCUGCGACGGACAUAGAAAUAUGUCUUUCCUUCGGGACGCAGAGACAGGUGGUGCAUGGUUGUCGUCAGCUCGUGUCGUGAGAUGUUGGGUUAAGUCCCGCAACGAGCGCAACCCUUACUGUCAGUUACUACGCAAGAGGGCUCUGGCAGGACUGCCGUUGACAAAACGGAGGAAGGUGGGGAUGACGUCAAAUCAUCAUGCCCUUUAUGACUUGGGCUACACACGUACUACAAUGGCGUUAAACAAAGAGAAGCAAGACCGCGAGGUGGAGCAAAACUCAGAAACAACGUCCCAGUUCGGACUGCAGGCUGCAACUCGCCUGCACGAAGUCGGAAUUGCUAGUAAUCGUGGAUCAGCAUGCCACGGUGAAUACGUUCCCGGGCCU